ensembl:lncRNA
GCUAACAGGUGGGUAACCAGCUGUGGCGGCAGGGAGAUCUACUGAGACUGGAGAUCUACUUCCCCUAUAGGACAGAACAGGAAGCACACCCUCAGGACGGGGCUGAGGUGGAACAUCUCUCUCCGGAGACCACCGCCUCUCAAAGACGCUUUCCCCAAGACAGAAACAGUGACCUUAUUACUUCCAGAGGGAAUACUUCUUUCUCUCUUUUCUCUUUAAUUUGACAAGUCAUAGUGUUGUGCUAUAGUGAGAUGGAAUUACAUCAUCAACUGCAUGGAACAGAGCAGAGCUAGGCACUGCUAGGCCUUUUCAACAUGUGCUGUUGAUCUUGGCCAAGGUGUCUGGAGCAGUGCAAGGCCCGGUGAGAGGUCCGGGAAACAAGAGGUCCCUCUCAGGCUAGGAGGAGAGGGUCGGUAGGAGGGAUGCAAUGAUAGCAGACCUCUACAACCACCUGUCGAUAAGAAUGCACCUACCAGUUGACCUUGGAGCUCUCCCUUACUGCUGGCUUUUGGUUCAAAGAGAUAAACCCAAUGGCUACAUCCCGAAUGGCACCCUGUUCCCUAUAUAGUGCACUACUUUGAACCCAGAGGGCUCUGUUCAAAGUAGUGUGCUGCAUAGGGAAUAAGGGUGCCGUUUGGGAUGUAGCCAUUGGGUUUAUCUCUUUGACCCAGUACCACGCAGUACCACGCACAGUCAUAUCAAUGAAUUUUCUCAUUGUGUAACAGCGCACCUAUAUGUGUGUCAUAACUACUCUACAAUACGUAUUCAAGGACAUUUGCUUGGCUACUAAGAUGUGUUUUCAUUGAGUUAUACAUGUGAUGCAAUUUGGGUGUUAUUCGUUAUUUUCUUUAAAAUAGCCAAGUUAAAUUACCAAUCUGCUGUUUUGUAGCCAAGAGGUGAACACGGUACACAAGCGACAAUAUGGAUCUACUUAAAGUAGUUUAUCACAUGGAUUUCUUCCCUCGGAAAGAAGUGUGAGACAGCUCUCUGAAUGGUAAAACAUCUCUGAACAUCAAAGGUGCUAGAAUGUGGGCCUGGGGUGAAGGAAUCGUCCCACUGUGAACACGGGGUUAAGACAGGCCCCACUCUGCCGUUCACUCCUGUCAUAAAAACAACAGGCAACCAAGUGAUGAUCAUACAAAUGUAUUUAUCUGCCCUGAAAUCAAGCGCUGAGAAUCUUUCCAGCCAAUUGGAUGUCCGAGUGUGAUUCCCAGGGCCGGGGAGGAAGAGGGUUUAUUUUUGGGAAGGAGAGGGCUGGCCCAUCAAAGACCAGGCUGAUGACAACAGGAGUUGUGUGUAAUGUAUUUAUCUGCUGGGUUCUGCCUUUCAUGACGCGCUUCUUGUUAAAUGUAAUCAGGGCUCUGUGUGUUUGUCAUGGCAGGGCCUGAACAAUAAGGACAACCCUGUCUUACCAUACAGGACUAGCAUUGUCGACUGAUACACAGUAGUCGACACUCACAGGUCACAGAAAACGGGCAAGGCCGCCACCUGUCAGGCAUUAAGGGUACUGCACUGACUGUUAGGCACAGGUAAUGUUUAUCAUGACACGCCAGACAACACAAGCAUUUUUUGCUGCAGGUUAUUGUGGUUUUGAUAAUUAGGACUCAUACUCGUCUGAUACAAAGUAUGAAAAAGGUUCAGAAAGCACCAAAAUGGUCUCUAUUACUGCUGUCAUACUAUUCACAUUAUAUCGUGCCUCAGAAUUUAUUUUAAAAAACUUUUGAAAAAUAAAUAUUUCACAAAACCAGGUGAAGUAUUAGCUGGAAGAUAAGUGUGUGUUGUGAAUGGAUUGUUUUGAG